ensembl:lncRNA
UUAUUUCUUAAGUAUUAGACUCUCUUAUUUGAUUUUUCUCUUAAUGAGCUCAAUGACUCCCACACCUUCAAUGAUGAAAUAGAUUUUGACAUCUCCCAGAUCUGCAGGACUGAGAACUCUCUCUGAACUCCAAUCCUCUGUAUUCAUCUAUUUAUUGAACAUUUCUAAUAAUAUAUAUUAUACUGAUGCUUUCAAAUCAACUUAUCAAAUACUGAACUCACCAUCUAGUGAAAAAUCUGCUUCUCCUGGAGAAGAGAAUUGUGGGGUUAUCUUUCAUCUAGAUGUCCAUGCCAAUAACUGGAAAUCACACAAGACUUUUUGCACUCCCUACCCUUCCUUGGAAGAAAUCAAUCACAACAUGUAUUCAUUCUACUUCCUAAAUAUCUUUCAAGCCUCUCCACUCCCUCAUUGAAUAUGAACUUCUCAUGUGAAAGCUUAACUAUGGCUCUUCCUGCCUUCAGUUUUUCACAUCACAAUGAGAAGUGCUGCCACAGAUCUUGAGUAUAGCUGAACCAGAACAGCCCUACAUCUGGAGAGAAUUCCAACAAACACUGGGGAAUCCCAAUCCAUUAGGGUAGACUGAUGCCCCUAUUGACUUGAAUGAGAAACACAACUUUGAGAAUGACUCCAGAAACAGUUGUGGUGAUGGGGAAUUUGAAGACCAGGUUGCCAGCAUGAAACAAAGAUUCAUGUGAUAACAGAUGGAACUCUUCACUGUCUGCAAAGACAGGAAAGUAUAGAGGAAUCAUAUGGCCACCUGGCUUCUGCUCCCAGUAUUGUUAAUAGG